rnacentral:rRNA from 1 species
GACGAACGCUGGCGGCGUGCCUAAUACAUGCAAGUCGAGCGAGUCUGCCUCGAAGAUCGGAGUGCUUGCACUCUGUGAAACAAGAUACAGGCUAGCGGCGGACGGGUGAGUAACACGUGGGUAACCUGCCCAAGAGAUCGGGAUAACACCUGGAAACAGAUGCUAAUACCGGAUAACAACAGAUGAUGCCUAUCAACUGUUUAAAAGAUGGUUCUGCUAUCACUCUUGGAUGGACCUGCGGUGCAUUAGCUAGUUGGUAGGGUAACGGCCUACCAAGGCGAUGAUGCAUAGCCGAGUUGAGAGACUGAUCGGCCACAUUGGGACUGAGACACGGCCCAAACUCCUACGGGAGGCAGCAGUAGGGAAUCUUCCACAAUGGACGCAAGUCUGAUGGAGCAACGCCGCGUGAGUGAAGAAGGGUUUCGGCUCGUAAAGCUCUGUUGUUGGUGAAGAAGGACAGGGGUAGUAACUGACCUUUGUUUGACGGUAAUCAAUUAGAAAGUCACGGCUAACUACGUG